rnacentral:rRNA from 1 species
GAUCAUGGCUCAGGACGAACGCUGGCGGCGUGCCUAAUACAUGCAAGUAGAACGCACAGGAUGCACCGUAGUUUACUACACCGUAUUCUGUGAGUUGCGAACGGGUGAGUAACGCGUAGGUAACCUGCCUGGUAGCGGGGGGAUAACUAUUGGAAACGAUAGCUAAUACCGCAUAAGAACAUUUACUGCAUGGUAGAUGUUUAAAAGGUGCAAGAGCAUCACUACCAGAUGG